UACGAGUGAACUACCAACAUGUGCAAAACCAUGUUAAAAGUUAACUAAUUUGUGAGGUGCACCGGUACCAAUACAUUGAAUAAGUUUUGAACGUUUUAAAUUAAUUGAGGUGAAAUAAUCUAAAUGGGCACACUUUGAAGGUAUGUUAAGAAGAACGGAGAACUCAAGAAUGUCGAGCAUCUUAAAGUUAUCAAGGUACAGCAUGGUUCUGGUUGGAAUAUGGCGAUUUCCUAUCUCAGAAAAUCAGCUAAUCCAAACUACGUACUUCACGUAUUCCAUAUUUAUGCAAAUAUUUUUUUUCCUUCUCCUAACAUCCAUGUCCAUCCAAUUUGUUACGAUGACCAAGGCUGACAAGAACGCCGGAAUAAGCCCGGAACAAUUGUUCACGACAUUUGCGUUUAUCAUAAACUGCUCCAUAAUCCAAAUUAAAGUGAUACUAUGCCAGACCAAGCGCCUAAAGGCGCUUAUUUCUUACAUUUUGGUAACUGAAAAGGAACUUUUAAGAUUGAAAGACACGGAAAUUGUACAAAACCAUAUGCAGCUAUCGCAUUUUUGUCAAAUUUCAAACCUAGCUAUAGCAUACUUUACUUUUGGAGUUGCGUUAUCAAUUAUUCUGGGUAACGCCUCGGAGAGACACCAGACGGAAAAGUACAACAGCAUAUAUAACACUACGUUAGAGAAACCAUUUCCGUACCAACUAUACUACUUUGGAACGGAUACCCAAAAGCAUACAAAGCUGUUACUGGUAGUGAAUUACUUCUGCGUAACAGUAGCCGGAUCUAUGUUUGUUUCGACCCAAGUUGUAUUUAUAUCAUGCAUAAUAUUCGCUUCUUCGAUCCUCAAGUCGCUGCAAAUCAAGUUCAGGAAAAUGAGUGCAGCCCGAACAAAUUUGUUGCAGUUCCUGAGAAAACUUAUUCUAGAACAUCAGGAUGUUAUUGCAUUUGUGGGAAAACUGAAUUAUUCAGUAAAAUAUCUGAUUUUGCUGGAGUUUCUUUUAAAUUCUGUUAAUAUGGCUUCAGUUUGCGUUCAGCUUAUCACGUCUCAGCGAAAUAUGUUCCUCGCUUUUCCAAUAUUUUACUGCGUCCUCUUCGUUACUCUAACCUUUAUGUUAGGGUGGAGUGCAAACGAGGUAAAGGUUCAGAGCCUUGAUCUAACUGAUGCCGUUUACGGAAGCCCUUGGUACGAAGAGAAUGUAAGGGUAAGAAAAAUGGUUCUUUUAAUAAUGAUGCGAACCAACAGAGCUCUGACACUAACUGUAGGACCGUUUGAUGCUAUGACUACACAGUCAGCUUUGACGAUAAUGAAAGCGUCUUAUUCUUAUAUUACUUUAGUGGCUCGAAGUUAUCAUUAGCAUAAAGAAAAUUAUACGAUUAUGGUUAUUAACUUAUGUAAGUCGUAUGAAUUAAUAUUUUCUUAAUAGAAACGUGUUAUAUGGACUAUUAGGUCCCUUCAUAACGUAAAGAAUUUUGAAAAUAAAUGUAACAAUAAUAAGAAAAGCUUUUAACAAUUGCAUUCGGGGACCAACAAAAGAUUUCCUUAAUGGGCGACCUUUUAAAUCCUUUUAGUAAGGGUGGUCCGAAAACUGAGAAUUAUUUUAAAUGUAAAUGAGCCAUCCAACAAUUUUUGCCUCGAGGCUUGCUUAAAUUCAAAUCUACCCGUCGCUAGAGAUUAUAUUAUUUUCGUAAAAUAUUUUCAAUCCUAUUUCGAACUUUUAAAUGGAUUUACCCCCAAAUCCCUUUAAUUCUCUUAUUCUGCACAAAAUCUCCGAACAUAAAUCUAAAACAAUAAGGCCCUAAUCCACUUACACUUAAGGGAAAAAUCAACAGCAAAAGUCGAGAAUUUCCAUGAGCAACCGCUUUGCCAUAUUUAUAUUGUGGAACGUUAGGGCUGUUCCAAGGGAAUCAGGAUAAAAUGCUGAAGGAUUGAUUUCACUCAAACAGCGUUCUUGGAGAUAACAGUGGCUUUUUCUUUACGCAUACUUGAAUGAAAACAAAAUUCCACGCAAAAAAAUCCGGUUUAGAGGAAUAACAACGAACUCUGUAAUUAGCAUUCUCCUACCUACCAGCUGGCGGAAAAUCCAAAACAAAAAUCGCGUGAAUGCCCCGCUCCAUAAUGGAGAAAGCUGAACUACACGCUGGAAUGGGGAUGGAUUGUAAAGUGUCCUUGUAUUACGUUGAGCUUUGAUCCGAAGCCCUUAAACGGUCUAAUAUGUUAAGUAGCUCUAGUUGGAAAGCUCUGUCGCAUUUACUGCUUCUGGUCCUGUUCGUGUUCAACUAUGGCCAGACUAAUUGAAAGCGCUAAUUAAUUCCUGAAAUAACUUUUGCAACGGCAUGUUUAAUUAUUGAAGCCGGGGACAAUUCAAAAACCCACUGCAAGCGUCGGCAAGGCAAUUCUUCGUCCUUUACAAAAUGCUGCUAUUUGAAAUGCGACAUUUCAUCACAAUUUUUGAGAUACGCCCUUACAUAUCAACACUAUGAUGGUACAUCCAGG